CUUGUUACGAGCAUACACGAUGGUACACCGCCUCGCGAGGAGUGUCCCGCGUCAUGUCCACGAACAACGAGACCGCGACUGUCGCCUCGGGCACAGAGUUUCUUCUCUGGAUGGCGUUACAAGUACAGGCAAGCGGGUGUCAACGGUUUUUAUUGCUGUAAUUUGUGGUGGUGUGGAUUCACCAGUGCGGAUCGAACAGCACCGUUUUCUCCAGCCCUGAUUCUACCAUAUCGAGAUGGUGUACAAGGAGAUGCGCAAGUGUAUUCGACAUCUUGAGGGAGAUGCAAGAUGUGCUUCCGCGAUCCUUGCUGCAGGUGUUCAAAUAAAUGAUUUAAAGUUUCAGCACUGUGCUGCAUUGGCUGUGUGUAUUUUCACUGGACCAGCUGGUCCUGCAGCCAAUCACAUUAGCAACUAACUGUGACUUGCGACAGCGAGCUAAGAUCCAUGC